UACGUAGGCAGCGAGCGUUGUUCGGAGUUACUGGGCGUAAAGGGCGUGUAGGCGGUCUUUUAAGUUUGGUGUGAAAUCUCCCGGCUUAACCGGGAGGGUGCGCCGAAUACUGAGGGACUAGAGUGCGGGAGAGGAAAGUGGAAUUCCUGGUGUAGCGGUGAAAUGCGUAGAUAUCAGGAGGAACACCGGUGGUGUAGACGGCUUUCUGGACCGUAACUGACGCUGAGACACGAAAGCGUGGGUAGCAAACAGG
rnacentral:rRNA from 1 species